UAGUACUUUUCUUAGUCAACAAACUAUAAGUUCAAUUUUCCUUCAAAAUAAAAAAAAGCUAUAAGUUCAAUUUCCUUUGCCUUUUCUAAUCCCACGCCAAUUUAUAGUCCCAACUUUUACCUUGAUAUAUUCUAUGCAAAUUAAAUAAUUAAUAACUACCCUCUAUUUCCCAUGUAUAUAUACAUGUUCCCUCAAAAAAAUAUGUGUGUUAUGUUAGCAACUUCAUUUACCAAUUUCCUUCACACUUUACAUUUGUUACACCUCUUAGUUCAACCAUGGCUGACUGUGAUGUUGAAACAGUUCUUUCCUAUUGUUGCUUGACAGUUGCAAAGUGUUGUCAUGAUAUCAAAUUGCUUUGGUUUAGACUUUGAUGAUCAAAGUGACCGCCAUGCUUCAUUAGUUAAACCAAAUAACAAGAUUGAGAUCAAGGUUGAAAAGAUCAAUGCUGUGAUCUUUCUCAUGCAAGAAUUCAGCAGGGUGCUGUUAUCUAAAUUGGUGCUACAGUGGUCAGGAAUAACAUUUAUGUGUACAUUAGGGUUACAUAUUUGAGUCUGUCUACUUCAAUGUCAAUUGUCUUUGAAUUCCAUAUCAAGUUGUGUUUAAUUAUUUUGCAAUGCUUU